UACAGAGACUGCAAGCGUUAUUCGGAUUCACUGGGCGUAAAGGGUGCGCAGGCGGCCAAGUGUGUGAGGCGUGAAAGCCCGGGGCUUAACCCCGGAAUUGCACCUCAAACUACAUGGCUAGAGCAUUGGAGAGGGUAGCAGAAUUCAUGGUGUAGCAGUGAAAUGCGUAGAUAUCAGGAGGAACACCGGUGGCGAAGGCGGCUCACUGGCUCGGUACUGACGCUGGAGGAGCGAAAGCAUGGGGAGCGAACAGG
rnacentral:rRNA from 1 species